AUGAUGAAAUGGAGCCAGAGUAAUCCUCUCACCUUAGUUAAAACAACCCAGAAGACAUAUACCUGUAGUCACUGUGGAUGGUGGAAGGCUCCAAGAUGGGGAUCAGAAUCUCUCCUCCAUAAAGAAGUGGAAAAUUUUUAUUCUAAAGGGUUGAACAAAGAAUACUCAGUGGAAGUUUCCAAGAAUCAUAGUUUGGAUCAAUACAUAGAAUGGAGAUCCCCAAGUCUUCCUCAAAGUGAUAACUACUCCAAAUUGCAACAAAGUACUUCAAGAUGUAAUCAAUUUUCAUGUAAUUGUAUUUUUUCAAGUAGUUUU
rnacentral:lncRNA from 1 species